AGGACGAACGCUGGCGGCGUGCUUAACACAUGCAAGUCGAGCGGAAAGGCCCUUCGGGGUACUCGAGCGGCGAACGGGUGAGUAACACGUGAGCAACCUGCCCCUGGCUCUGGGAUAGCCUCCGGAAACGGGGAUUAAUACCGGACAUGACCCUUGACCGCAUGGUUGGGGGUGGAAAGUUUUUCGGCCAGGGUGGGGCUCGCGGCCUAUCAGCUUGGUUGGGGGGGUGACGGCCCACCGAAGGCGACGACGGGUAGCC
rnacentral:rRNA from 1 species